rnacentral:lncRNA from 1 species
UCGGAAUUGUGUUUCGGAUGUUAAUAUGGGCUUGCCAAAACUAAACUGCUCUUUUUAUUUGGUCCUUGUUGAAAAUAAAUAAAUGACACUUAUGCAUUUCCCUGAUAGCUAGUGCAUAAGUUAAUUUUGAUGGUAGUUUGGCUUCAACAACCAAUGUUUCUGUUAUGAUUAAGUUGGUAAAAGACCUGUCAAACUUGUGUAUCACAAC